GGAUUAGAUACCCUGGUAGUCCACGCCGUAAACGAUGGACACUAGUUGUUGGGCAUUAGCUCAGUGACUAAGCGAAAGUGAUAAGUGUCCCACCUGGGGAGUACGAUCGCAAGAUUGAAACUCAAAGGAAUUGACGGGGGCCCGCACAAGCGGUGGAGCAUGUGGUUUAAUUCGAUGAUACGCGAGGAACCUUACCAGGGCUUAAAUGUAGAUUGCAUUAGUUAGAGAUAGCUAUUUCUUCGGACCAUCUACAAGGUGCUGCAUGGUUGUCGUCAGCUCGUGCCG
rnacentral:rRNA from 1 species